CACAGUUCUCUUAUUUUAAGAGGAAUCCUUCCUAAGGCUAAUCCUUGCUGCCGUUCCCAGCAUCCUCAUAAGGAUGAAAAGGAACCAAGGAGCUGCUGCAUAUAGCAGGAAACUCCUUUUGUUUGCCAGGGAGAAGAGUCAGCCACAAAUACACAUGAGCAUAUGCAGGUCAGAGGGAGGCAGGGAGCAAGUUGACAGCCUGCCAGGGGCCUCUCCAGUACCACUUCCCUAUGGUUAUAUGUUUUUUUUUCACCAGUCAGCCAGGACUGCGGAGAGAUCAUCGCCAGUGGAUGCUUUCUCUGACCUUUCCUUCCUGCAUGCUGUUGGGAAGACUGGCCCCAAAUCCAACGGGAAGGAUAUCAGAGACCACCGAGUUUGGGGCACAGAGAAACUCACAAAAAUGUGGGAGAAGCAGAAAUAGCUACACCAUACCCGUUUUGGAAGAGGCUACAUCUACAUUCAAGGGAAGUUUAUGCCCCAUUCCCCUUGAACUGUCCAUGUAAAGCGCUUGUCAAAUGAUCGAUGCUCCAUAUAAACAUGAGCUAUUUUCCUUUUAUAAGUUUGUUUGCCCAGACAGGUUUGGAAGGUAUGGAAGAUCUAUUAGGAAAUCCCAGAAAUGCAGCUCUGCAUUUCAUGGUGUGUGGGAAUGCUGGGGGAGGGGAAGACCUAGAAGUGUCCCUGUAGGUUGAGAGUUCCAUGCACCUUGGUCUGCCCUUGGCUGUCCCAGUUUAUGUCUAUUGUCUCAGCAAAAUUAUUAACAGAGGUCCCUGUCACCCUCAAAAGUAUUCUCAUGCAGACAAUAAUUUCAUGAUCACUCUACAGGUGGCUCAUGUGAGUCCAACUUUCUGUUUCCUUUCAUACACGUGAGAAAUAAUUUAAAUAUAGAGAGAUUAAAAAUGGAAUCAGUAAGAUAUUCAAAUGCUUGAGAACAAGAAUUUCAAACCCAAGAAAUCAGGAAUAAAU
rnacentral:lncRNA from 10 species